rnacentral:rRNA from 1 species
AUACGGAGGGUCCGAGCGUUAUCCGGAAUCAUUGGGUUUAAAGGGUCCGUAGGCGGGAAUCUAAGUCAGUGGUGAAAUCUUGCAGCUCAACUGUAAAAUUGCCAUUGAUACUGGAUUUCUUGAAUUAGUGUGAAGUGGUUAGAAUGUGUAGUGUAGCGGUGAAAUGCAUAGAUAUUACACAGAAUACCAAUUGCGAAGGCAGAUCACUAACACUAUAUUGACGCUAAGGGACGAAAGCGUGGGGAGCGAACAGGAGUAGAUACCCGGGUAGUCC